AUUGAACGCUGGCGGCAUGCCUUACACAUGCAAGUCGAACGGUAACAGGUCUUCGGAUGCUGACGAGUGGCGAACGGGUGAGUAAUACAUCGGAACGUGCCCGAUCGUGGGGGAUAACGGAGCGAAAGCUUUGCUAAUACCGCAUACGAUCUACGGAUGAAAGCAGGGGACCGCAAGGCCUUGCGCGGACGGAGCGGCCGAUGGCAGAUUAGGUAGUUGGUGGGAUAAAAGCUUACCAAGCCGACGAUCUGUAGCUGGUCUGAGAGGACGACCAGCCACACUGGGACUGAGACACGGCCCAGACUCCUACGGGAGGCAGCAGUAGGGAAUCUUCCGCAAUGGGCGCAAGCCUGACGGAGCGACGCCGCGUGAGUGAUGAAGGCCUUCGGGUCGUAAAGCUCUGUUCUUGAGGACGAAUAAGCCAGGGAGUGGAAAGCCCUGGUGAUGACUGUACUCAAGGAGAAAGCUCCGGCUAACUACGUGCC
rnacentral:rRNA from 1 species